AACGAACGCUGGCGGCAUGCCUAACACAUGCAAGUCGAACGAAUGGUUUCGGCCAUUAGUGGCGCACGGGUGAGUAACGCGUGGGAAUCUGCCCAGCAGUGGGGGAUAACCUCUGGAAACGGAGGCUAAUACCGCAUACGCCCCUCGGGGGAAAGGGCUUGCUGCUGCUGGAGGAGCCCGCGUCGGAUUAGGUAGUUGGUGGGGUAACGGCCUACCAAGCCUGUGAUCCGUAGCUGGUCUGAGAGGAUGAUCAGCCACACUGGGACUGAGACACGGCCCAGACUCCUACGGGAGGGCAGCAGUAGGGAAUCUUCCGCAAUGGACGAAAGUCUGACGGAGCAACGCCGCGUGAGUGAUGAAGGUUUUCGGAUCGUAAAACUCUGUUGUUAGGGAAGAACAAGUGCCGUUCGAAAGGGCGGCACCUUGACGGUACCUAACGAGAAAGCCACGGCUAACUACGUGCCAGCAGCCGCGGUAAUGUACAGUGU
rnacentral:rRNA from 1 species